AGGGAUUCAAGGCUGCAGGAAGCAAUGAUUGCACCAUCACACUUCAGCCUGGGCAACAGAGUGAGACCCCGUCUCUCUCUCUUUUUUUUUUUUUCCAAUGAAUCAAUUUUAUUUUCAGACUUUCAUAGUUAGUCUAAUUAAAUCAAUUUAAAGUUCUCACUUUCUUGACAUGCUUAAGAAGUAUAGUGUAGUGGGUGAAAUCAUAGACGCCGGAGACAGGACUUCCUGGGUUAGAAUUCCAGAUCAGCAACUUACUAGAAUGAAACCUUGGCCACAUUAUGUCAUCUCUUUGUGUCUCCAUUUGCUCAUUGCUUGGCGAUAGGUGAUUGUCUCACCGCUCAGCGAUAGGCGAUGGUCUCACCGCUCGGCAAUUGGCGAAGGUCCCAUCUGGGUCGCCAAAAUGUGUCCGGAAUUGGUGGGUUCUUGGUCUCACUGACUUCAAGAAUGAAGCCGCGGACCCUCGCGCCCUAUUUUGCACAUGAGGAAACUGAGGCACAGAGAGGCGUGGCUUGCCCCGGAGGUCACACUAGUCGAUUUGGUCCCAGGCCAGGGCGGGUUCUGGGUCGGCAGCCCGCGCAGGUGCACUCGGGAGGCGGGGCGGGCGCUGCAGGUGCGCAGUCAGUCU
rnacentral:lncRNA from 1 species